AUUGAACGCUGGCGGCAUGCUUUACACAUGCAAGUCGAACGGUAACAGGCCGCAAGGUGCUGACGAGUGGCGAACGGGUGAGUAAUGCAUCGGAACGUGCCCAGUCGUGGGGGAUAACGCAGCGAAAGCUGCGCUAAUACCGCAUACGAUCUCUGGAUGAAAGCGGGGGACCGAAAGGCCUCGCGCGAUUGGAGCGGCCGAUGUCAGAUUAGGUAGUUGGUGGGGUAAAGGCUCACCAAGCCAACGAUCUGUAGCUGGUCUGAGAGGACGACCAGCCACACUGGGACUGAGACACGGCCAAGACUCCUACGGGAGGCAGCAGUGGGGAAUUUUGGACAAUGGGCGCAAGCCUGAUCCAGCAAUGCCGCGUGCAGGAAGAAGGCCUUCGGGUUGUAAACUGCUUUUGUACGGAACGAAACGGUCCUGGUUAAUACCUGGGGCUAAUGACGGUACCGUAAGAAUAAGCACCGGCUAACUACGUGCCAGCCGCCGCGGUAAAAC
rnacentral:rRNA from 1 species